UAGGGAAUCUUCCACAAUGGACGCAAGUCUGAUGGAGCAACGCCGCGUGAGUGAAGAAGGUUUUCGGACCGUAAAGCUCUGUUGUUGGUGAAGAAGGAUAGAGGUAGUAACUGGCCUUUAUUUGACGGUAAUCAACCAGAAAGUCACGGCUAACUACGUGCCAGCAGCCGCGGUAAUACGUAGGUGGCAAGCGUUGUCCGGAUUUAUUGGGCGUAAAGCGAGCGCAGGCGGAAGAAUAAGUCUGAUGUGAAAGCCCUCGGCUUAACCGAGGAAUUGCAUCGGAAACUGUUUUUCUUGAGUGCAGAAGAGGAGAGUAGAACUCCAUGUGUAGCGGUGGAAUGCGUAGAUAUAUGGAAGAAUACCAGUGGCGAAGGCGGCUCUCUGGUCUGCAACUGACGCUGAGGCUCGAAAGCAUGGGUAGCGAACAGGAUUAGAUACCCUUGGUAG
rnacentral:rRNA from 1 species